rnacentral:rRNA from 1 species
CGCCUCCUGCAUACCCUAGUACGGCGAGUGAAGCGGGAAGAGCUCAAAUUUGAAAUCUGGUGGCCUCAGGUCAUCCGAGUUGUAAUCUAUAGAAGUGUUUUCCGUGCUGGCUCAUGUACAAGUCCCUUGGAACAGGGCGUCAUAGAGGGUGAGAAUCCCGUCCUUGACAUGAACUACCAGUGCUCUGUGAUACAUUUUCAACGAGUCGAGUUGUUUGGGAAUGCAGCUCAAAAUGGGUGGUAAAUUCCAUCUAAAGCUAAAUAUUGGCGAGAGACCGAUAGCGAACAAGUACCGUGAGGGAAAGAUGAAAAGCACUUUGGAAAGAGAGUUAAACAGUAUGUGAAAUUGUUGAAAGGGAAACGAUUGAAGUCAGUCGUGCUCUUUGGAUUCAGCCGGUUCUGCCGGUGUACUUCCUUUGAGUGGGGUCAACAUCAGUUUUGAUCGCUGGAUAAAGGCUGGAGGAACGUAGUACCCUCGGGUAAACUUAUAGCCUCCUGUCACAUACAGUGGUUGGGACUGAGGAACGCAGCACGCCUUUAUGGCCGGGAUUCGUCCACGUACGUGCUUAGGAUGUUGACAUAAUGGCUUUAAACGACCCGUCUUAAA